AGAAAAUAGUUAUUAUGAACUGACUGUCACCUUGAGAGGAAUGAAUGAAUGAAGUUGAGUCUGGGAGGAAGAGGGAUUUGGGCAAGGCGGUUUUACCAUUCUAUUCCAAUUUUAAUCAGCAAGAAAUUAAAUUAAUCUUCAGAAAAUCAUAGAAUGGCUUGACUUGGAAAGGACCUUAAAGACCAUGCAGUUCCAACCCUCCUAUCAUGAACAGGGUUGCCACCCACCAGAUCAGGCUGAACAAAACCCUCCUCAUCCAACUUGGCCUUGAGCACCUCCAAGAAUGAGACAUCCAUAAUUUCUCUGGGCAAUUGGUGAGGAAUCUUUCAUGAGGAUGGGUUGUCAGCUCCUGAAGAUAUGGAGCAGGAAUGUAAGGAUCAGCCCUCUGGGAAACAGGCUUAAUUGCACAUUGCUAUGGGCUGAGGUGGGACGUUGGUCUGUGAAACCUUUUCCAAAUGGUAAUGGGACAGAGAGGGUCAAUAAGUGCAAGGAUUUGGGAGGGAAUAGCUAUUAAAAAAUGGUAUGCAGCAAGAGGAAAUGUUAAUGAGUCAGUAAGUGCCAUCAGCAGACAUCAAAACACUGUUUUCCUUCUGGCAAAGUGGAAGGGUCCCUUCUGAGGUCCCUGACUGUACUGAGCAAGUGUGCUGUAGACAAAAGUUCUGUGAAAAAUGAAAUCCAGUUAGGCUGUUAAAGACCAUUUUGUAAUAUGCAGAUAUACAAGGCUCUUGUUGAGGGUUGCCUCGCCAACUUAGAUGUUAAGUCUUUAAAAUACGCAUACAGCUGUGUCAUUAGUUAUCUGUGUAUCUGUUACAGAGUAGGAGAAAAAAAAAUCCCUGAAUAGCAUGCUGCACUGAGGAUUAUUCUUUGAGAAAACAAUACCUGCCUUGCGAAGAUCAUAACAGGCAGAAGCGAGCCAUGACUGCAGCUAACCGUUCUGCAUGUAAAAAGAACCUUCCUUUUGUUUAUGUGUCUGCUCCCUUGUUUCCACACCAUCCUUCCAGAGACAAAGGAACAAAUGUCAUCCUGUAAACAACAGGGGAGUGCAAAACCCCACAUAACUCGGCAGCCAGAGCUUUAGCAUAAGUAAUGAGGUUUGCAAGUUACUACAACUCGGAAAUUCAAGGGCAUGUCAAAAGUCAGCAGUGUGUUUGUCUUUAAUAUCAUAGACAUUUAUUUAUUACACUUUCUUUGAAAGAACGCUAAUAUUUUGAAUUAUAAAAAGUAAUGAGAGAGUCCAGAGAGUCAUUCCACAGCUCAGUUAUAAAAUAUGCUAAUGUCAUCAACAGGUCUCUAGCAGAUCACUGGCUGAGGAAUGUGGGGAUCAAAAAGGAGAGAGAAAGAAUUUAAAGAGCAGGUUUCUCUAGGGAAUAAUUUAACCAUCUGGCUUGUGACAUAAUUCAUUGACAAGGAUUUCUGGUAUGUUUUGUUGCACUUGGAGUAGAGACACAGGACAAAAAAAAAGAGGCAUUUUACUAGAAGCAAGAGACAAAAGAAAUACUAUAGGCUGACAAGGUCUCUUUAUUACUUUUCAUUCUACAGUUCACUAUUCUCUUCAGACUCUCUGAGGACACAUAUUUUCUUGGGUGUAUUACAGAUGCCCUGUCCAGAUCAGUAGGAUGGUAGUACUAUUAAAGCUUCCCAUGGAAGGGUGAAACAAAUGCUUUCAGUGAGCGCUUGAUAAAUCAUGACUUUUCUGGAAGUUCUCUACAGUUUGGAGGACAUCUUCAAAGGCCAGCAACUACUUAUGCUCAGCUUUAAUUCACUUUAAUAACACAGCUGCAAACACACUAUAUGCCUUGAAAUACAUGGUUGAAAAUCUAACUACAGUGGAUAAAGCUAUAACUUGCAGUUUACAGUUGGGCCAUGCGUAGAGGUAAUUUACAACUACUUUUGAAAUUGUUUAAUCUUACAGCAGAACACAAAUAACUCACAUUUGGGGAUUUAUUAGCUACUUAUAGUAAACACUUAAUGUUGAAACAGAAAUAUUAAAUAAAGCACUUCACUUUAUCAAAUGUUUUAACUUCUGGAUCACGGAUUUGUGAAAGCACUAAACUUUUGGUGCAUCCAUACAUUUAAAUCCUAUCAACUCUGAAUUCCUAGCAUGUACAUAUUGUAAUGAUUUAUUGUUCCUAGGUACAUACUGUUUCUGACAGUCUUGGCAAAAGGAAAUACAUAUCGAGCAAGACAGCCAACACAGAAUAAUGAGAAUUCACACUAGAAAAAGCAAUCUCCCUUUCUCCAGUUCUUUCCUUAUUCUUCCUCCUUCCCAUAGCUGUCACAUAAACUAUGGUUUAUAAGCAGGCAUUAUCUUUCAUUGUAUUUGACCAAUUUUCUGUACACUACCACUCAAACAAGGCAGAAAUCAAAAGGUUUUGUGAAAUCUCAGAUGUUUUCCAAUCCACAGUAAGAAUUUUGUGCUGAUACAGAGAAAUGCUGCUUUUUCUUUAAAAAGGCUUUAAAAAAACCAGCAACAUCUCAGUGAUUCCUUUACCUGGUAUUUAAUCUUAAUUUAUCCCCUGAAGUCUAUCAUUUCCUGCUGUGAUACUCUGCUGAAAAUUUUAAUAAGACUUCAAACAUAUCAAAAAAUGGCACCAUGAAGAGCCGGAAUGGGAAAGUAAAAUUUAUCAGGAAGAAUUACAGCACCCAUUAUAGAAUAGAAAUUCUGCAUAGUAUUAAAAAGUUUUCCUCACUGCAUGAAGAGAUAAUGUCUUUAAAGCAGGACAAAAUAGAACCAGACUCAUCUGAUCUUAGUACAACUUUUUGUGAAAAAGAAAACAACUAUAAGAAAUGAAUGGAUGAAUUACGGAAUGGUCAGGGUUGAAAGAGACCUCUAGAGGUCAUCUUGUCCAGUCUACAGUAUAUCACCCAGGAACAGGUUUACUUUUUCAUGGCUUUUGAAGAUCUCCAAGGAGAGAGAAUCCACCACCUCUCUGGGCAACUCGUUCCAGUCCUCCAUCACCUGCACAAUUAAAAACUAUUUCCUGACAUUCAGACUGAGCCUCCUGUGGUCAGUUUCUGACCAUUGCUUCUUGUCCUGGCUCUGGGUGCCAAUUAAAUGAGCCUGGCUCCAUCUUAUUUGCACUAUCCCCUCAGGUAUAUGUAGAACUACUGAUGAAAUCACUCAGAACCUCCUCUUCCCCAGCCCGAAAAGUCCCUGCUCUCUCAGUCAUUCCUUAUAGGAGAGGUGCUCCAGUCCAUCAUCAUGCUGAUUUGCUUGACUCUCUCCAGUCAUGUCUAUCUUGCACUACGGAGUCCAGAACUGGACACAGUACUCCAACUGUGGCCUCACCAAUACUGAGAGAAGGGUCGCUUCCCUUGACAGUCAUCCCAAUGCAGCCCAGGAUACCUGAAGCCUUCCUUCUCCUCUGCAAACCACUAUGGAUCACUAGCAUAGAACAGUGCAAAUGAGAAAGAACAGUAUUUUUAUUUCCUACUCUAUAAUGGAAGUGUAUCUAACUGAAUCACAAUUUGGCACAAAAUUCAUUUAUUUCACCUUUGGGAGUAGCAAUGUAUGCAUUAUGCUAAUUAAGAAUGAAGAAGUUGAAAAAACAAUAACCAAUUCUACAGUGUAAUUGCCACCACAUUACUGAUCAUACAGGUCAGAAAAAUGUACUUUGUAGGAACCUCUCACUAGUAAAAAUGGGACAUUCUUCAUGAAGUAUUAGGAAUAUGUUUUCAGAUUCUUACAAAUGUCCAUUGAAAAUGUUCCUGUUGUCUUGCUCAUUUGCAGUUUUGUCUAUUUAGUAUAUUGAGUCACUCUCAUGUAUGACUGAAUUUUUUAAUGCUGCAUGCUUCAGCAGCACUUCCAGAAAUGUAACUGUUAUCUCCAAUUUAUGACCUCUUUUGUUGCUCAGCAAUGUGCUACCAUGGAAUAUCCUGUCCCCUCACAGAAAUCAAUAGCAGAAUAAUUUUAAUUAUUUGGAAAAUAAAAGAGUCUCUAAGAGUAAAAAUAAGACCAUCCAUUUACAUCUGAAUAACAUUCUUUGUUGAAAAACACAGCUUUCAUUAAAAAAAUAAUUAGUAUAAAUCUCAUGUACACACAGUAUACAAAGAGAUGUAACCAACCAGAUAAUAAGGACAUAAAAGAUGGAAGUCACAAAAAUAAAUGUCUUGUUUUGUUUUCCAUCUUCCCUCUUAAAAAUAAAAUAAAACAAAAUAAAAAUCAAAGGCAACAGAGAGAAGAUAAACAAAGAACGCUGUUAAAAUUGAAAUGAGUUAUAAAGAAAUCAUUUGCUCCCUGUGGUAUUCUCACUGGAUAGAAAAGGGAAAAUACGGGCCUUCCAGAUUAUAUUGAUGGAAAUAUUUACCUUAUUUAUUCUGUCAUCACACUUCCUUAGAGUGUGUGUAGAAUUUGGUGUUCAUUAAAAUAUUAAUAUUUUCUGGUAUUUUAGAUAAUGCUAGCUAAUCUUUCCAUACAUUUUGGAAACCAUCAGUCUUCCUAGAUGUAAAAAAAACGGCAUCCAAAGCGAGUAUCUUGGAUUUACUUUGUAGACUGUUACUAUUAUUAACAAUCUUGCAGUUGUACUUUGUUGUUAUUAUCUGAUGUUUUCAAAAACUCAGGCUUGGGUUGGAAGGGACCUUAAAGAUCAUCCAGUUCCAACCUGCUGCUGUGGGCUGGUUGCCACUUACUAGGCCAGGCUGCCCAGGGACCCAUCCAAGCUGGCCUUGAGCACCUCCAAGGAUGUGGCAAAUGGCCACAUUAUCUUCUUAGAGGAGCUCCAGUUCCUUUGGGACAAUUCACAGGCUUAUCUCUGCCACUUCCUAAAGUGACAGUAUUCCCUGGAUCUUCUCGGUCACUCAGAAGUACAUCCCCUUCCCCUCCCCUAUCAAAUCCAUUUUAAAGCUCCGUUAAUAAGUCCAGGCAGCUUGCAGCCCAGAACUGGGAAAGGCAGAUGCUAAUGUGUCUGUUAACAGAGAGCUUCCUCAACAUAUUAGUGUUUGGAAGGAGAAUAAAGAAGUUCUUCAGAAGUACAAGCAUAUUUUUAGGUUUUUUUCAUCCUUUUAGCACUAAAAGUCUUGCAGACAAGAUUCAGUCAGAUUAUAUGCCAGAGAGCAAUAUUUUAAGGGAAAAAGAAGGCUGAAAAUCCAGAAGUGUUUCAUGGACCUACUAGAGAUUCAGUCUCUUUAGAAGAUUUAGAAGGGUCUGUGAAGAAUUAGAGAAGAGAAAAGAAGGUGGAUAAGCAGUAGUCUGAGACGUUUUGAGGGUUUUUUUUGAAGUUUGCCUUCAAGGAUCGUAUAAUACUGUGCAACAACACAGGGUGGGUGUCGACUGGAAAGCAGCUUUGUAGAAAGUCUUGAUGUCCUGGAGGAUAAGUUACCACAGUCCUCAUAGCCACAUGCAUGGUUGAUCAUAAAUUUACAUAAAUUAUAACUAAAGUGGUAGUCUAAACUUGUUUCUAAGGACCUUUGCUCACCGAAGACCUCCUAUCACAGCUUUCUUCAGCACACAGAUCCCAGAUUUGAGCUUUUUCAUGCUCCUAAACUCUUUGUCUCUCUGGAAGCACCCCUGGACUCACGUUUCUUCCAUCAUUUUGCAACCAGACUUACUCUCCUGCCCUCCAGAUAGUCAUACUUGAAGUUUUCUCACAGGUCACUUGCACAUACACACAGAGAAAGUAGUAAAAGCUCAGUUUUGUAAAAAUAUAAGUGAGAGUACUGUGACCAGUUGUAGGCAUCAGCAACACAAACAAGCAGCCUGCCCACACACACCUUUUGCCAUUUGUCCCCAUGCUCCAUUUCCCUGUGAUUAUUUCCCCCUGGUCCACCUUGAUGCUGCUUCCUUUCAGAAGUUCAGUUUUUUCCAUCCCCACCAGAAAUCUCAAAAUGCCUUAUCUAAAUCAUGAGAAGGGUAAAUAUGGUGCUGCUUUGUUUUUCUUUCUCAAUUCAUUUUGCACCUUCUUAUUUAUUUUUUUCUAGCUAGAGCAUUUUCUGAUUAAUGCUGAUCUUGUUCCAUUCAAAGGAAAGAGGGAGGGAAGAGACCAAAAAAAGGGACUGAGCUGAGAAAAACUCGGAGAGAUACAUUCUGGGAAGGAGAGGGAAGAACUCCUCUGAUGGUUCUCCAACUUCUCUAUGAGAAAUCAGGGCAUGAAAGAUUUUAUGAGAAUGAUGCACCAUAAAUGCACUAUUAGCACCUAAAUGCACUUUCUGGGGAGCAUUUUUCUUGACUGUUCACAGUUUAAGCCUAGAAAGACUAAGCUCCCUCUUUACAAGUACUAUUUCCUUGUAAUAAAAUAUUCUGAGACGAACAUCAAAGUAAACAUACCCUGUUUAUCUAAAAAUUGUCUUCCUUUGGUCUGCUAAAAACAAAUUUAAUAUUGCUCAUUUAUGAAAGCAGUGAGACCAUUUUUCAUAACGUGCUAAUUUGUAACAACCUAUUAAGUUACACCACUGGAUCCCUCCUGUGCUUAGGCACAAAUUGCUAGAGAGAAAAUAUUUUAGUGGAUUUCAUUUCUGUCUAUUCAGUUGCAACACAUUUACAAUUCUGUGAUUUGUGAGGAAGAUGUAAAUAAGUUUCCCCUUUGUAUAUAAGUAAGCACUUUGCCAUAUAUUUCCUUGCUGAUUGAAAGUAAAUGGAUAGAAGCAUUAUAGUGUUAUGAAUUAUAAUUUCUGCCUGCCUUCUUGGAUCAUCAAUUUUAAAAUAUAUCAGAACAUGUUGUUGUAGACUAAACAGUAAGACUCAGUUUGAGGCUUUCUUGCUCCUUUGGGUGCUGAAAGUAUUACAGAGCACUCCAGAUAGAUUCAGUCAGUUGCCUCCCUUUAGAGGAGAUAAUAAACUGAGGUUCCUUCUCUCUGCCUCUGGGAUUAGUCUAAAUCCAAUUGCAUCUUUCAAAACAAAUACAGCUGCUGGUUAAACAACCUUUAUGAUGUAUGAAAAAAAGUAAGAGGUUUGAUUUCUUCAUGUCUUAUCAAAUCCUGUUAAAACACAGGUGCCUUCAAGGUCUCUAAUCUUCUAUCCUUACACAUAUAGAAAGCUCCCAUAAAAGCCAGAAGACAAUUUCUGACAACUAAUGUGGACCCUUCCCCCUCUGACAUCUAAUGGAAUCAGUGUGAAGGGAGGUUCUCCUCUAGGUCAUCUUAAUUCCUAAACCAAGAGCAAAGAAAAUGAUAAUUCAAUUGAUCUGCCUUUUUCAUCUAAGUAUUUACAUUACUGACUUUCUGUUCAGCUUAAGUAAAAUCAAGAUCAUCCCUGGUCAAUCCUGUUGACAUACUUGUUGACUCCUCUACUAAUCAUAUUCAAUGAAAAUUGUAAGGAUAUCAAAGUCAUUUAUAAGAUAAAAGAGAAAAGAAGAGCCCUUCUUAACAAGGACAAAACAUAUAUCUAGAAGGCAAUGAGUGUAUCACAUACAAAAAUCACAAUCUUAUUUUGUUAAACUUAUUUUGGCUUUGGACGGUACAUAAUGAGUGAGGUCAGGGAGAAGCACAACACUGACUGCCAAGACACAAGUGUCCCAAACAUUUGCAGGAAGGGCAAGAAAGAGUUCUGGGGAGAGUACAAGCCUUUCAGUUUCAAAUCAAUCCCAGGGAAGAUUAUGGGGAACUUAUUCUUCGAGACUUCUCUUCUUCAUGUGUUUCCAGGCAUGCACAGAACUGUUCAAGACAGGAAAGAGCCAGCAUGGAUAUUAGAAGGGCUUACUGAGCCUGAUUACUUACUGUGGUGAAACUGUGUAGCAAGGAAAAGCAGUAGAUGUCAUUUCUGUUGGUUUUAGUGUGGUCUUUGAAAGAAGAAAGAAGUCUUCGAAAGAAGUCUCCCGUGAGCGGAGGGAUCCUUCCUUUCUCUUUGGCCCUUGUGAGACUGUGUCAGUCGUGCUGUGUCCACUUUGGGGCACUUUUUUGUGCCUACUAUGAGACAGACUUGGCCAUACUACAGAAAAUCCAGUAAUAAUUAGGGAGCUGCUCAAUAUGACAUUUAAAAAUAAGCUGAGAGAAUUUGUUCUUUUCAGCCUGGAGAAGAGAAGACUCGGGGAGGCCUUAGUGCUGUCCACAGCUACCUGAGGGGAAAGAAGUCAGAGGCCAUCUCUUCUCAGAAGCGCACAGAUAUAAAAAAAGAGACAACAGUCACAAACUGGAACGUGGGAAAUUCUGAUAAGAUAUAAGGAAAUGUGCUUGCCAUGUGAGUGGAUGAAUUGGCAUGGGUUUCUCAAAGACAUGUCUCACUGGCAUCCUUGAAGAAAAACAAAACCUCAAUUCAGGUGGAAAAGGACCUUAACAACCUGUUGUAACUGUACUUGCUUUAACUGAGAGAUUGGACCAGAUGACCUCUGAAGAACAUUUUCAACCUAGAAUAUUACUCUUUGUCUCCAAGAUAGGGCAGCAUACUUGCUAAGUGUUAUGCUUUUUCCUGGAUAGAGGAGAAAAUAAAGGAAAAGAGGGAAAUUUGUUAUAAUUCACACGUGUCUGGGUUACUGGUUCUUUGACAUUACCUUUCAAUCAUUAGCCAGAGGCCAUUAUUUCUGCUUGUCUGAGUACCCUUGAUGUGUAUAAGAAAAAAAAGAAUAAAGUGUCUAAAAUGUUUUUCCAAUGAGAAAAUUUGAUGAUAGAAUGUGUCCUCAGACUGUCCUUGUCCUGUUUUCUCUUUCCUGUUAACUUUCUAAAUGCUCUUUUUUUUUUUUUUUUUUUUUGUUUUGUUUUGUUUUAAAUCAUCUAUAACUUUUUCCAGUGUGCAUUCAAAUUAACCAAAUGAAUUUCCUGUUGGUAAAUUGUAUCUCAUCAAGUACUGCAGCAUGGCAAAAGGAGGAAGAUUUUUGCCUUUUCUCUUUUCUUAGAUGAUUCAGAGCAGCACAGGAACUCUUGUAUAACAACAGCAAAGUCAUGUCUUGAUGAGAGAGGUCAGAGAGAUGAGAGAGGCCUCUGAAACAAGAAAAACUUGCUAAAUAGAUCAACAGCUGAAAAAAGUUUUCAAAGGAAAGGUAACUUCAUAAACGUUACAAACCUUGAAAGCUCCAAAGUUUAUUUAAUAUUCUGCCAACUUUAAUCUGUCUUGUACAUUUAUAAGCAACUGCCUAUUACAGAAUCGUAUUUUCCAUCCUUGGAAAACACGCUAACACCAUUAGCAGAAUAAAAAGCAAAACCUAAAGUUAAAAACUCUUCUUCCUUGAUCUGUACAAACACCUUGAAAGCUGUUGACACUUGGAUUAAAGUAUAUGUCUAGAGCAAGUUAAAAUUACACAUCUGGCACUUUUUAGGAGAGAUUUUCAGGGGACCUGAUUAACUUUGAAUGACAGCUUUGAAUCUUUGCCUAAUGGGAAGUUGAUGGUAAAUAAGUCUCUUUAAACCUGACAGAAACUGUCAAAACUGUUAGUAAGCAGAAGUUUUUACAGUUAUAUUCACUAUAUUGGCUGAAUGCAUGUGGAGUAGUCUGUGAUGCAACUGGACUCAUUUUCUGUUAUGUUGGCAAAUAUUUUAAGGUUGAGUAUCUAUUUAGUGAUGACUGAAAGUAUUCUAACAUUUUAUCUCUAUGCACAGAAUCAUUGUCCCUAGUCCCAUGGAGGGAUAGGAAGCCUUCUCGGGAGUAUUACAAUUCCAGCAAAAAAGGAAUCACUAUAUAGAUCUGGAUCUGGUAAAAUCUCUAUAUUUCACUUUAUUAUUAUUAGCUGUGGCAUGAGACAGAAUAAAGGUGAAGAACUUGGAGCAUUUUGAGGUUUUCCAUUUUUAUUCUCCUGCCUUUUAACUACCUUACUGAAACUUUCAAUAGCUGUAUAGAAAGAUUUCACCUACAAAGUUGGUGAGAAAUCAGUUCCAUGGAAAUCUAUGGAAUGCUCCACCGAAAACCUGUAUCCUGAUGACUUGCACAACAAAAAGAGUUUGAAAGGAAUUAUGUAUAAUGUCUUGAGGCCAAGAAUUAUACCUUUAUAAUAAUAAUAAUAAUCACACCCCAAAACUCUUAAUUCUCGAGAUUGUUGUGGACUGUUUGCAGAUACUUCACAUUUCAACAAAGUUGAGCAUAGAAAAGAGGCCAUCGCGCUGUUUCUUCUAGUAUAUUUUCAUGUGCUUUUGUCAAGGCUUGUAUUUUUGUAUGCAAGCACAGACUUUUAGGAUAAGCACAAGCAGGUGCUUUUGAAAGCAUGUGAGUACUUCAUCACUUCCAAACUCAUCUAUCAAUCACAUUUUUGGUGUUACUUUCUUCCUAAGCAACUGUGAAGUGCUUUCAUUCCAAGAUGAAUGCAAGAUGAUGUGUGUUUGCAAGCAUGCAGCCAUUCUUUAAAUUAUACUCACAUUCAGAAGUUCUUAAAGUUAUUGAAGUAUUAUGACAGAGAAAUGCUCCCACCUUUAUUUCUCUUCCUUCAGUACACAGAGAGUUUAUAUGUCAGUUAUUUUAUCCUUGAUGGGAAGGAUACCUAGCAAUAGCUCAUCUUAUAAAGUACUAGAGAAUGCCAUUAAAGAGUAACGCUAAAAUGCAAUAUAAUUUUGUAGCUGGAGAACAAUAACUAAAAGAAAUAUUAAGGGAAUAUAUAUAUAUAUUGUUAUUCCUGUGCCAGUAAAUCAGAAUUUUCACUACCACUGGCAAGAAAAAAUUGAUCAUUGUUGUAUUUUUCAAGGUGGUGGGAGCAAAACCAUAGCUGUUGAAAUAUCAAGAUUAAAAUCACAAACAAAUUGGACUGAUUUAUAAUUUUUCAUUAAACUUUUGUCAAAAGCUUCCUUUGCCAAAGAAGUCUGAACCUUUUAUAACACAUUAGAGAAAAGACCUGGGUUUGCAAUUAAAAUGCAUAGCUAAAAAUACUGCCUACAGAUAAAACCGUGUGUUCACGUAUACUGGUAAGUUUAUUUUCAUCUUGUCUCUACUGUGUGUAACCUAACACUUCUUGUUAUCUGUAUAAUCAUAGUUUUUAUAGAUGCCAUAAGGGAUGUAUGACAAAAAAUAUUUUGGGAACAGGAGAGAGAAGCCAUCCACAAGACAGUCUUUGUUGACAGUGCAGAAGUAUUUCCAGGAUAGUAAGUAGAAAUGUGUAAACACAGCUGAGAGAGCUGGAAGAGAUUUCACUUUGUGCUUCUAUAUCUGUAAUAUAAAUCUGCCAUUAUGUGUUUGGCAUACCUUGUGCUAUCUUACAUCUGUAGAAGAAAGAAAACACACAAUUAUGUAAUUAUUGCUUUUCUGCUGGGGAGAGUAGGAGAUUGUUCAGAAAUUGUCAAGAAGGUUGAAGGAAGGAAAGAGGGAGAAAAAAAAAGGAGGAAAAAAAGUUGUUAAGUCUCCAUUUUGCUUUAAUAUAAAAUUCUGCUGCAGUACAUAAAUUGGCAAAUACUUGUACUACUUUAUUAGUACAAAUGGUUGUUGUCUGAUUUAAUAUAUCAGGGUAUCAAUAAACCUGGUAUACCUAGUCUCUGCUUAGAUUGAUAUAAACAACAGGAAUACACUACCUCAUUCCUGCAUACUGUAAUUAAAGAGCUUUCUAAAGUUAUUUAUGUAUGUCUGCUUGGAAGCAUAUUAACAAGAACAAGAAAAUAAUUAAAUAAGUGGGUUUUUUUUUCCUUCUUUUUUUCCUCAGCUAUUUACAAGGGAAGCUAAGAUUGGAAAGUUGCAUUUUUUUUCCAGAAAUAUUCUCCUGAAUGUAAAAUAAAGCCUGUUUCCUUAGACAGCCCACAGAUAUUUCUUUACUAGAAUCUUAAAUAAUUAUCCUUUUUUGUAUUCCAGACUAGUUAAGUAUAUGCCUACGUAUUUAUGUAUGUGUAAAAUAAAUAUACAAAGAAAUAGCUACCAUAAAUAAAAUGUGUUUGUAGGAGCCAGAUGUCAAUACAUGCAUACAUUUUACUCACUCUGAAUUUAUUUAUUUCUGUAGUCAGAUAAAUGGUGAUACAUUAACGUUGAUGCGGAUUUUCAUGUGACUCUUCAUUUACCAUUUCCACAUUUUAACCUUACCCUUCACUCAAAAUGCGAGGCUGAUGUCAAACACCUAUGAAGAUUAGUCUAAAAUGGCAAAAUUUUCUUGAGGAGUCUCCCCCAGUUUAAAGGAAGAUAAAGUCAACCUACUAUGGCUGAGAGUUUAAAUCUGUCACUGAAAUAUAUACAGCUGAAAUGUAUUUGUUUGAUAGAUUUAGGCUCAGCUGCACAGCUCACUGUAGAGGUGGAAGUUGUUUGGAGAAUACCAAAUAGAAGAUAUUUAUGAUGUAGAGCCUGGCAACUUAGGGAAUAUGAAGGCAUCAGGCAAACAGACAUUAAACAUCUACACUUUGCACUUUCCAGCAUAAGAAAACAUAUAGUGUAUACCAUUCCACUUCUGGACAACCAAAAUGACUAGCUAUGUCCCACUUUGUAUCAAGUGGUCCUGGUUUAUGCCUAGGGGAGUCUUCCACCACAAGCUGUAUUUGUGGAGUGACCUGAAGUCUGAGCCUUGCAGCGCCUUUUUGCUUGAAAAUCCAACUAUAAUAUAUAAUCUUCCCACCCCACUGAGGCACAAUGUCACAUUAUUAUCUUCUACUGAAUGUAAAGGUAGGGACAAAAGAGGAUCAUUUUAACAAAAGAAAAUAUAAAGUCUCAAUCACAGCACUGGAAAGAAAGGAUAAGAGUGGCAUUUGGAAAUCUUUGCACUGCCUGUUGAAUCAGCAAACACACCAGAUGACUUCUGAGAUCUGAGUACUCCAAGGCAAGACUGGCAGAUUCUGCACUAAGACACCUCAUUCUUCUCAGAGACUAGCUAGAACUCCUGGGGUCUCACACUCAUCUCCCUGUUCUAAUUCUCCUUUUUCUUUGAGAUUUACAGUUCCUCUGUGAGGAAUCUUAUUUCUCAGAGCUGAAUUACAAAAUGGAAAUGUAAAAGUCUACAUAAUUCCUCAACCUAUACUUAUUAGGAUCAGAUUUCAUAGGAUCACAGGAUAACUCAGGCUUAGGAAGUUUUGUUCUCCUAUUCAAAUCAGGGCAGCUUUGGCAUCAGACCAUGUUGCUCAGGGCUUGAUCCUGUCAUGUCUUGAAAACCCCUGAGGAUGGAGAUGGCACCACCUCUGUGGGCAGCAGUGCCACUGCUGAAAUCCUCUUAGGGAUAAAGCUAUUCUUUAUACCGUGUAGAAACUUCCCCCGUUUAUUCAUAAUCGAUUUACGAGCAAUGUCUCUUAGCUUCCAGCCCUGCACAAUGGUGAGGGGCCUGCCUACAUCCUCUCAUUCCUCCCCUGAAGACAAAGCUGCUUCUUUGAGACCCUCUGAAGCUUUCCCCUACCUCAGGCCCAUCAAGUCCCACCUCCAUGGCUUCUCCUCCGAGGACAAGCCCUCCAGUCUUGACUGCCCUGGGGUCCCCAAUUGACCUUGCAUUAGGUUGGCAAUGUCCAAAACCGGAGACAGUGUCAUGAUGUGUUCUAAUAUGUGCUCACCAGAGAGGAAUAAACCCCUCUGUCCCUCAUCUCCUGGCUCUGCCUCUUUUUAUGCCACACAGGAUGCUAAUGGCCUUGGUGCCGCCAGCUCACUCUGCUCCUCCAGCUUGCCUAGAUACCAUCUGGGACCCCCACGUCCUGCACCCUCAUCAUGAGAGCUAGGCAAUCAUCCAUGAAUGUUUGAGGACUCCCCAGGCAGAAUCACUGCUGCCCAGAGGGAUGAGCAGCACAAACAAACCUCAACAGUCUUUCUGUGGUAUUCUGAACUCCACUACCUCGUGAGCAGCAAACCUCCCCAGACAUCAAAUCGGGUCAGCAGAUGGAGCAUCCAUUCCCUGCAGGAGCAAGCCUCCAAUAGCUUCCACGCUGCUUAUUUGACAAACAUUCUGUGAAUAUUUGACUGGGGCUCAGCUGGCUCUGACAUCUGCCCUGAAGGAGGCUGUCUUCCUCAUCUGCAUAUUAAUCUGACCGUAACUGCUGACCUGAAAGCAGAAAAGGACCCUUAGUUGAAUUAUCAAAAAUCAUGACUUUCCAGUCUCUGCCACCUCAGGAACGUCCAUCUAUGGAUCAUCUGUGGGUAUUCGCUAGACUCGCUCCUUCUUCACAGCACUCCUCUGUUCACCCUCCCUGCUGGCUGCCACUUCUUCAUCCCUUUCAUCGAGUGCCUCAGCACUUCAGAGCAGCACCUCCUGCAGGUGAGAACGCGGCUGCUCCAAGCAGAUGCACCUGGCACUACCUACCUGGCCCCGAGACCUGGGCAGCCACAUCAUCCCUCAGGAAUUUCCUCACUUUGCAGGAAACAUUCUGGAUUAACAUUUCAUUGUUUGAUGAUACAAACUCAAUUAGUUGGGAGGGGAUCCUCAAUCAUUCAUAGAUGAUAACUUCUUAGACAUUAGAGGAUUUUCUAGGCUGUAGCAAUACUUUAUAAAUGAUGUCUCACAAAAAUUUUCUAACUUUCAUAUUCCCUUUCCCUGAUUUACAGACCUGUAAGCACCUAAUUAACUUCUCAAAGGUGAAGUUAUGCCUGUUUUGAAAAUAUUAUCCCAGUUUAUAUCAGGAUUAGCAACGUCUUCAUUGCAAAUAGCUCAUUGCUUGACCAAAUUUAGUCUGAAUGUUUAAGUUAUGAAAGCAAACUGCUCUCUUGUUUCACUUCAGACACAGCUGAAAUCUUACAAAAAUAAACAGUUGUAUAUUUUUUCCACUAUUUAUACAGAAUAGAAUGAUGCAACUUUAGCUGCAUGGAAAUGUAGCCAUAUAUACUAUAAAACUAAUAAAUACACUUGGUAUUUCUUCAGUUUCCAAAGUAUAUAUGUAUGCAUAAUUAUGACUUUUCCUUAUGGUCAUGACAAACAAAUUGAUAAAUUAUAUUCCUGUUUGCUUACCUUCCUCUCUGUUAAUUUAUCAGAAACGUAGAGAUUCUGAAAUGUGGCUUGUGGAUAUACUUCAGCUAUUUGUGCAGAAUAUUAACCUCAUUUUCCCCAGAAUAUGUUAGAACAUCACCAAAUAUGCUAUAAGAUGAACAAUGAAGCUAGUUUUUAAACAGCUUAAGUAAUUUCCCACAGUCAGUCAAGCAAUCUUUACAUAUAUGAAAAGGAAGGGUGAAAUUAUUCUUGUGUUCCCAAACACUAAUAAAAUAGCUUUUCCAUUACAUUGUAAAUAAACACCAUGUUAGGUCCCAUUAGAAAUAUCUAUGUAAUGACUUAGUUCACCUGAAUACAUUUGCCAUUUUUAUUUCCUUCCACCACAGUGAUGUGAAUAACUUGCUUUGUUACAGAACUUAUUAUCCAUAUAUCAUUCCUCAUAAUAAGUCAAUAGUUUAUAGAUUAAAAAAAGAGAAUAUAAAGCUCACAAACUCUGAAAAAUUGCUAAAAAUUCACUAGGUUUGUUAAACAUGGCUUUCCUUUGCUAACGAAGGCUACAUUGUUGAGGGUUAUUAACAGGACAGACAUUUCAGCUCUUCCUGUAAUCAGGAACCUACCUGUGGUAGGUGAUGACAAUCUUAUCCAAUUAGAACAUUGGUAAGUAGAUUGCAUGUUCAAAGACACCUUAGUAAAUUUUAGCUAAGUAUGCACUGUUCCCUCGCUAGAGAUCUACUGCACACCAGAAAAGACUGCCUAUGUAUGUUUUGGAUAAAUAUACACAAAGCAAAAAAGAGUAACAAGAACUUAUUUUGUUUGGUCUUGUUUUUAAGGAGUUGAGAUUAGAAUAUAUUCAUUCAUAUGGUUGAAUUUCUUUUGGUACUGAACAUGGACAGAAGUUCACCAAUAUGUAUCAGUGUUCACUUGUAAUGCCAUAGUAAGGUCAUUUUUUUAAUGCUGUGAAUAAUGAAUUAGAUAUAUUUAUUGAGAAAAAUUGUUAUUAAGAAACUGAAAUGUAUUGUUGAGUGACUAAGUCUUUGUGGAAAAAAAGUCUGUUGUGAAAAUGCUGCUAUUCUAAGGUCAUUAAAUCAUGUUGGGGCAUACAUUCUGUGAGCUCUAAGGCAUGAGGAAAGCUCAGUUUCUGGUUUUGUUUCUUUGCUAUUAUUUGUAUUAGUUAUCUAGUAGAUCCUUUUUCUCUGCCUGCAGCCUUCUCAUUACUGCUGAUCCUUGCUGCCUUGUCAUCAGAACUGGUAUUUCUGUUGAGAAUGAUGAAAUAAAGAGUUCUUUUCCUGC